UACAGAGGUGGCAAGCGUUGUUCGGAAUUACUGGGCGUAAAGGGCGCGUAGGCGGCUUGGUCAGUCCCGUGUGAAAUCCCUCGGCUCAACUGAGGAACUGCACGGGAAACUGCCUGGCUUGAGUUCGGGAGAGGGAAGCGGAAUUCCGGGUGUAGCGGUGAAAUGCGUAGAUAUCAGGAGGAACACCGGUGGCGAAGGCGGGUCUCUGGGAAGUAACUGACGCUGAGAAGCGAAAGCGUGGGUAGCGAACAGG
rnacentral:rRNA from 1 species